AUGGAUUUGAAUUUGAUGCCGGAAGAGGAGGACGAAGCUCAAGAAGAAGAACAAGCUCAGCAGGGUGAUGCUAUUGAUUUGAACUUGAUGCCGGAAGAUGAGGAUGAAGCUCAACAAGAAGAACAAGCUCAACAGGGUGAUGCUAUUGAUUUGAACUUGAUGCCGGAAGAUGAGGAUGAAGACAUUGAAUUGAAUUGGUUUCCUGAAGAGGAAGAAGCUGAAGAGGCACAAGAAGAUGCAGAAUUGGAAGAAGCUCAAGAGGCACAAGGAGAUGCAGAAUUGGAAGAAGCUCAAGAGGCACAAGAAGAUGCAGAAUUGGAAGAAGCUGAUGCACAUGGCAAUCCAAGAGGCAAGGACUUGACAGACAAGGAGAGACAUGGUGUUUACUUUGCUCUGCGAGUAAUCGAGCUUAGAGAUGGACAGGUUCACGUGUAUGACAAGGUGCUCAUUGCGACGAUGCUGAAUGUUCACUUGCGAACAGUUACAAGAAUAUGGAAUCUAGCCAAACGACAACUUGCAGCAGGCCAAGAAGUUGAUGUUUCAAGCAAGAAGAACAAAAGUGGUAGGAAGAGAAAAGAACUAGAUCUGUCGAGAACAGCCACAAUCCCCUUGAACAAAAGAAGAACAAUCCGGUCUCUAGCAAGGUGUUUAGGUGUGCCCCGAUCAACCCUACAUGACAGAUUUCAAUUGCAAGAGCUGAAACGCAUCACAAGCACCAUCAAACCCACCCUCAAGCCACAGAACAAGAUAGCGAGACUAAAGUUCUGCCUAUCCAUGAUGGAUGAAAGAUGGAUAUUAAGUCCUCGGCCCAGUUUCAAGCCAAUGACAAAUAUGGUCCACAUCGACGAGAAAUGGUAUGACAUGACCCGAGUGAAGAGUAGCUACUACGUACUGCCUGGAGAAGAAGAACCAAACCGAACUGUGCACAAUACUCAUAGCAUUGGGAAGACCGAGGCACAACGAACAAGCCAGAAUAGAGAUAGGGGGACAAUAGAGUUGAAGCCGGUCAAAGUUACUAGACCUGUGUGCAGAGAUUACUUGAUCAAUAAAGUAAUCCCUGCCAUUCAAGACAAAUGGCCGGACGGUGACGAUGACACAACGAUCUUUAUUCAACAAGAUAAUGCAACACCGCAUGUCCUCCCUAAUGAUGCUGGUUUUCUAGAAGCCGUGGCACAGACAGAUCUGGAUAUUCGAUUAUUGCAACAACCACCAAACAGCCCUGAGCUCAAUGUUCUGGAUCUUUGUUUCCACUGCUCCCUCCAAUCCCUAACCGACUGCAGAGCGCCUAUGAAUAUACAGGAACUGGUACAGGGUGUAGAGGAGGAGUUUGAGAACUACGAUCCCCAUAAGCUGUUCAAAAGCUUUAUGACGUUGCAAGCAGUCAUGGUGGAAGUGAUGAAAGAUAAAGGAGGAAACAACUAUAAGCUGCCGCAUCUACACAAGGACCGUCUACAAAAUGCUGGAGAGAAAAUAACCGGUGUAUACUGCAGUCCGGAGCUAAUUACUGACACCAAGGCCAUUAUUGAACAAGGAAAUGAGUAG
rnacentral:rRNA from 1 species